UUGAUAAAUUCAUAUAAAACAAGAAAGGCCUUUCAGUAGUUGAAAGACCUUUCUUGUUUUAUAUGCUUGGGAGG
rnacentral:pre_miRNA from 1 species